GGCAACCUUGAGGUUCUAACUCUGGUCCGUUAUCCGGAUCGAGGACAGUGUAUGGUGGGUAGUUUGACUGGGGCGGUCUCCUCCUAAAGAGUAACGGAGGAGUACGAAGGUGCGCUCAGACCGGUCGGAAAUCGGUCGCAGAGUAUAAAGGCAAAAGCGCGCUUGACUGCGAGACAGACACGUCGAGCAGGUACGAAAGUAGGUCUUAGUGAUCCGGUGGUUCCGUAUGGAAGGGCCAUCGCUCAACGGAUAAAAGGUACUCCGGGGAUAACAGGCUGAUACCGCCCAAGAGUUCAUAUCGACGGCGGUGUUUGGCACCUCGAUGUCGGCUCAUCACAUCCUGGGGCUGAAGCCGGUCCCAAGGGUAUGGCUGUUCGCCAUUUAAAGUGGUACGCGAGCUGGGUUUAGAACGUCGUGAGACAGUUCGGUCCCUAUCUGCCGUGGACGUUUGAGAUUUGAGAGGGGCUGCUCCUAGUACGAGAGGACCGGAGUGGACGAACCUCUGGUGUUCCGGUUGUCACGCCAGUGGCAUUGCCGGGUAGCUACGUUCGGAAGAGAUAACCGCUGAAAGCAUCUAAGCGGGAAACUUGCCUCAAGAUGAGAUCUCACUGGAGCCUUGAGCUCCCUGAAGGGCCGUCGAAGACUACGACGUUGAUAGGUUGGGUGUGUAAGCGCUGUGAGGCGUUGAGCUAACCAAUACUAAUUGCCCGUGAGGCUUGACCAUAUAACACCCAAACAAUU
rnacentral:rRNA from 1 species